rnacentral:rRNA from 1 species
CGUAGGGUCCGAGCGUUGUCCGGAAUUAUUGGGCGUAAAGGGCUCGUAGGCGGUUCGUCACGUCGGGAGUGAAAACUCGGAGCUUAACUCCGAGCCUGCCUCCGAUACGGGCAGACUAGAGGUAGGCAGGGGAGAGCGGAACUCCUGGUGUAGCGGUGGAAUGCGCAGAUAUCAGGAAGAACACCGGUGGCGAAGGCGGCUCUCUGGGCCUUACCUGACGCUGAGGAGCGAAAGCGUGGGUAGCGAACAGGAUUAGAUACCCUGGUAGUCCACGCCGUAAACGUUGGGCGCUAGGUGUGGGGGACAUUCCACGUCCUCCGUGCCGCAGCUAACGCAUUAAGCGCCCCGCCUGGGGAGUACGGCCGCAAGGCUA